UACGAAGGGGGCUAGCGUUGCUCGGAAUCACUGGGCGUAAAGGGUGCGCAGGCGGCGCGUUAAGACAGGUGUGAAAGCCCCGAGCUUAACUUGGGAAUUGCGCUUGUGACUGGCGUGCUGGAGUGUGGCAGGGGGAGGUGGAAUUCCACGUGUAGCAGUGAAAUGCGUAGAGAUGUGGAGGAACACCGAUGGCGAAGGCAGCCUCCUGGGCCAGCACUGACGCUCAUGCACGAAAGCGUGGGGAGCGAACAGG
rnacentral:rRNA from 1 species